rnacentral:rRNA from 1 species
GACGAACGCUGGCGGCGUGCUUAACACAUGCAAGUCGAACGGUGAUGCUCCAGCUUGCUGGAGUGGAUCAGUGGCGAACGGGUGAGUAACACGUGAGCAACCUGCCCCAGACUCUGGGAUAAGCGCUGGAAACGGCGUCUAAUACUGGAUACGAAACUUGCACGCAUGGGCUUGGUUUGUAAAGUUUUUCGGUUUUGGAUGGUCUCGCGGCCUCCCAGCUUGUUGGGGAGGUAAUGACUGACCAAGGCUACGACGGGUAGCCUGCCUGAGAGGGCGACCGGCCACACUGGGACUGAGACACGGCGCAGACUCCUACGGGAGGCAGCAGUGGGGAAUAUUGCACAAUGGGCGAAAGCCUGAUGCGGCGACGCCGCGUGAGGGAUGACGGCCUUCGGGGUGUAAACCUCUUUCAGCGGGGAAGAAGCGAAAGUGACGGUACCUGAAGAAGAAGCACCGGCUAACUACGUG